UACAGAGGUCCCAAGCGUUGUUCGGAUUCAUUGGGCGUAAAGGGUGCGUAGGCGGCGCGGUAAGUCGGGUGUGAAAUCUCGGGGCUUAACUCCGAAACUGCAUUCGAUACUGCCGUGCUUGAGGACUGGAGAGGAGACUGGAAUUUACGGUGUAGCGGUGAAAUGCGUAGAUAUCGGGAGGAACACCUGUGGCGAAGGCGGCCACCUGGUUGGAUACUGACGCUGAGACGCGAAAGUGUGGGGAGCGAACAGG
rnacentral:rRNA from 1 species